UCCAAGCUCCCGCCCCUUUCCCUUCCUGUGGAGGCGGCCUCGGAAGCUCCCGUCUUUCUGGACCCGCCCCUUCCCCACCCUGCUCCGCCCUCGGCCCCGGCCCCCGCUCCGAGCUCCCUUAGCUCUAAGCGGUUCCGGAAGCUCCCGCCUUUCUGGACACGCCCCUGCCUCCCCCACAGGAUUCCGACUCUCUCCCGGCUCGUCGAGGGCUUGACAUUUUACCGGGGGGUGGCCCAGAAAAACCUCGUAGAGAUGCCAUGGCAACAAAGGGCCUUGUGCUCACUCUAGCAGAGCGUCCUGCCUUUGUCUGUGAUCCAGCCUGGUGCGUCAGUCUUUGCAAACAAAAGAUGUGACCACCCGGCCGCCUAUCCCUGCCCCCACCAAAGCAGUAAUGGAGGCUGAGGCCUCUCCAGUUGAGCCGAGCCAGGAGAGCAGCAGACAGUUCUGGAGGCUGGGAACCAAGAUCAAAGGAUGGGAAGAUUCGGUGUCUGGUGAGGGCCUGCUUCCUGGUUCAUUGACUGUCUUCUUGCUGUGACCUCACUUGGCAGAAAGAGGGCUAGAGAGUUCUCUGGGGGCCAGGCACUGUGGCUCACACCUGUAAUACCAACAUUCUGGGAGACCAAUGCAGGAGGAUUGCUUGAAGCCAGGAAUUCAAGACCAACCUGGGCAACAUAGUGAGAACCUGUAGUUCCAGCUACUUGGGGGCUGAGGCAAGACCAUCACUUGAGGCCAGGAUUUCAAGGCUGCAGUGAGCUAUGAUAGUGCCACUGCACUGCAGCCUGGGUGACAGAGCAAGACCCUGUCUCUAAAAAAAUAAAAACAAAAUAAGAAGAGAGUUCUUUGGGGGUCUCUUUUGUAAGGGCACCAAACACCUAAUCACCUGACCUAAUCGCCUCCCAAAGGCCCCAUCUCCUAAUACAUACCUUGGGGGUUAGGAUUUCAACAUAAGAAUGUUGGAGGACACAAACAUUUAUUCCAUAAUAAGGACGUUUGCUGAAGGCCUUCUGGGAAAGGUUUCCUCACCCCUAGGUGAGAGUGAUGUAAACAGAAGUAUCUCUUUUUCCCGGGAAUGUUGUUAAGUCUGAAGGUGUCCUGGAACUGCUGCAGCUGUUUUGCUAACACCUGAGGAUGGAGCCAACAGUAAAGGUGGCAGAGCGGAGAGAUGGAAGGAGUCUUUGCCUUUAAGGGCACUCGAUCUGCCAACCCUGGAGGCCACACUAACGCUGAAUUUCCUCACACAAGGGAAAUUAAACAUUGUCACUGUUGGAGCCAUUGCCAGUGGGUUUCUGUUAUAGCAGAAAGCAUGUUUAUUGUUACAAACAGAGCAGCAUUCAGACUUUUGUGGGCCCCUUCCUAUGUAAACUUUUUAUUUA